rnacentral:rRNA from 1 species
UACGGAGGAUCCAAGCGUUAUCCGGAAUUACUGGGCGUAAAGAGUUGCGUGGGUGGCAGGGUAAGUUGAUAGUGAAAGCGUGCGGCUCAACCGCAUACACAUUAUCAAAACUGCUCAGCUAGAGGGCGAGAGAGGUAACUGGAAUUCCUAGUGUAGGAGUGAAAUCCGUAGAUAUUAGGAGGAACACCGAUGGCGUAGGCAGGUUACUGGCUCGUCACUGACACUAAGGCACGAAAGCGUGGGGAGCAAACGGG